rnacentral:piRNA from 1 species
UGGGCACACCCAGAGUUCAGGAGUCCAGC